ACUUUUAUUGAGAUAUUAUAUAUGUGAUUCACAUAUAAUAACAUUGUCCUUAUCAGUUAUAAUGAUGAUCUUAAUGGACUCUCAGAAAGUUAAGCCAAUCCAUAUAACCAGAACUAGAUUUUUAAAAAAUGUACAAGAAGCCACUUUCCCAAACUCUACAACAGAAAACCCAACAGCUCUAUUAAAAACCAGGCAAGAACCUGGAUAUUUUACUAAAGAGUAUAAAAAUGGCCAAACAACACAAGCACUGGAGCUCAGUAAGCUUUGGGAAAAUGCAAAUCAAAGCUAAUGAGGCAGACUCAGUGACACAACCUUGCAGGAGGAGGAUCCAGCACAAGGGACAUAGUGUGAGCUCUGUGGUAUAAACCAUGUCCUGCAGGGAAGCAAGCAAAGGUUCCUCUUCCCUACAUGCCCAUGGGUACACCACCCUCUCCUGCCAUUCAUACCAUGCCAGCCUUGGUCUUGGCCUGAGUUAAGAUGCAGCCAUUCCCUUCUGGGAGGUCUCAGACACACUUGAAGGGAGUCCUGUUCCUAACAGCAGCCGCUGUGGCGGGGGAGGAGCUUAGGGAAGGUUACCAGGCACCGGAAGCACAGCACCACCUGGAUCCCACCCUUCCUCCCUGACAGUCCAUUCCCAGUCCAUCCAUGCCUUCUCUGCGUAAGGUGCCUUUAAGCCACCUUUUUUUCUUAGAGCAGGAGUGCGAUGAGGUUCGCUGAGAUUCCAGCACCUUCCUGAAUGUCUAAUACUCAAGGAGUAAUACCCAAUAUUUAAAAACUCUUCAGUUGGUCCUUUGUGAGGACUGGGUAAUUCCUGGUAUGUGGCUUACACCGAGGUGGAGCAUGGUGGUUUAUGUGGUGCUCCACAUGAAGAAGCUUCUAGAGAUGGCUCUGACUCUGAAUCCUGAAGGACCUUGCAGAGAAGAGCUGCACGUAAGUCCAGAGACAAGUCAAUCAGACAUGCCCCAGACAGCUUCCCAUCCCUUCUCUUCCUCAGGCAGCCUUUAUAGGCCUUUCAGACAGGCAGCUGGUGACCAGCUGCUGAGCCAAUCAGAAUCAUCUGCCAGUUGGUUCCUUGGAAACAGAAUCAGUUCAACUGUCAGAGCCCCCAUCAGACUGACUAAUGAAUUGGACAAGAUGUCCCUCCCGAGCCAGUCUGGACCCCAGAUUGAGGUGUACUAGUGAGUCAGGGAGAAGUUCAUGGAAAGUUGGAGGUUAGGAAAGUGACCAGUGAUCGACAGCCUCAAGCUUUCCAGACAUACCAUGUGAGUGUGCCCAGCACCCUGGGGAAUGAAAUGGCUUCUAGUAGAGAGACUUCUUUGGAUGGAAAGCCACCGGGCAUGUGUAUACUGAAGACCAGUUGAGACAUCUAGCUUCAUGGACUGAACAAUUACUGGACUCUUGGACCUUCUGUUGCUUAUACUGGAGACCAGCUGAGACAUCCACCUUUGUGGACUGAACAACUUCUGGGUUCUUGGACUUUCUGUUCUUAACCUGCCGGCCAUUGUUGGACUAGCUGGACCACAACAUAACAGUGUGGAAGUCUCUGGAACUAUGAAACCACUAGCCUGCCUUGGAGAGAUGACAUUCCAGCUAAAGAAAGGAGGUGCAAAAGCAAUGGCUUCCAGGAGGUACAUAAAUCAUUGAGCUGUGAUGAGAGAGGAAUAUAAAGUGGCACUAAACAGUGAUGUGGGAAGCAGGACAUUCUAGGAGGACACUAAGGCACCAAGUUGACCGUGACUGCCACUCAUCACAGCUAGGGAGCUAGGAGCUGACUCAACUCCUGGUGCUGGACUCAGGACUUGAGAGGCGCCUACUUUGUGAUGGUUAAGAGCUUUGGAAAGAGCGGACAUGAAUCUAAGUAGUGAGGUGCUUAUCUGCAUGGAACACCCGGGUUGAAUGUCAGUUCACAUCUAUGAAAUUACAUUCAGAUGGACCAAUACCACAGUCAUUAAAAUGACCAAUACAAAUGUCUCUAUGCCAAUCAUAAAACAAAAAUAAUACUUCCAAACAAACUAGCACCUACGUUUCUGGUCUUUGGUUUUUAGUGCAGUCACAUGAGAAAGCUAGAAAACAAAAACACACAAAACAUAAUUAGAAAAAAACCCAUCGUUUAUGCAGGCAAUUACACGGAAGAAAUUUGAAGAGCUAGCAAGCUAGAACACACAAAAUGUGGAAUUACCAGUUUAAUAAUAGAAACUAAGCAUUGUAUGUACUUUCUAUUUGUAUGCAUUCAUAUAAAAACAUGACCAAAUGCCUAAGAGAAGAUACAAAAACUACAGUUAGAAAACUAUUGUACUUUGCUGUUUAAUAUCUAAUAGGGGAGAGAUAAGGAAUCAUGCAAAAUAAAACAGAUCCAAGAUCCUAAUAUGUGUAUAAAACUGUAUCACAUGCAUGUUGAGUGCACAGACAUUCUUAUGUGCAGAGUAUGACUAAAUCAGACAAAUGUAAACAGUACUAAAAACUUUCAUUAAUGUCACUGUCAAUACCUUCAAUAACUGGAGUUGGUCGAAUGUUAAUUCCUUUACUGGGAUUUCAAACAAUUCAACUGGAUCAGCUUCAUAUUUCUAUUAGAAAAAGGGAGAGAUCAAUCUGUUUUACUAUUUUUGAAUGUUUGCACUACAUAGACUUACAAUCUUAAUUUACUGAAGAUGAGGUAGCUCUUAGGUAUCAUGACCCCAUGCAGCAAAAAAAGUCCUUCUAAGUAACACUACAGGAGAUCUUGUCAUUUUAUUUUUUCCUUGUAGUCCCAGAAGAGCCCACAGCCUUCCACAUGCUGAGCAAAGGCUGUCAUCUCUGUGUGCACUGCAGGCAGCCAGAGCCAAACCCUAUGCCCCUAGCCAGAGCCUGGAAGAAAGGCAUCUGGAAGGAAGGAAGCACCCAUGACAGAGCAUGGUGUCAGGCAUCAUUUUACUGCCUCCUUCAUGUGUUAUGCACCUCAUUUGCCACUUAAUCAUGCUACAUGCCUAGGAACUCAACAUGCAAGUACUAUAAUCAAUUUCUAAUUUUCUAUUUUUUCUAAGCUUUUUGAUAUUUAAACCACUAAAAGUUGCAGGUGCACACACAAAAAAAAUCUAUAAAAAUGUGUCUGGUUAUCUAUAAGCAGUAUUUAAGGACGAUGAUCUAGCAUAUAUACUCCACAGGCAAAACUACAUUUUGAAGCCAUAUCAAAUGUUAUAGUGUAGAAAGUACCACUCUUUAAGGAAGUGAGUUAAGGUACCACCAAUAAAUCAUUAAAUGUCAUUGUGCAAAUAUAUUCACUCAUGAACAUUGGUACAAACCUGUGUAUGCACAAAUUUUUUCUGGAAGGACACACAAGAAACUAUUAAGAAUAAGGGAAUGAGAUCAGGGGAAGGGGAGGGAAGAUUUGUCAUUCAUCUCAUCUUCUGAACUACUUGCAUUUUUUACUGGACACAGGUGAAUUAUUUUUACAUGAAAAUGGUAACUUAAAAAAAUAAAACAAGAUAAAAAUAUGUACAAUUCAUUACUUUCAUUUCCCCAUAGCUCAUUGGGAUUCAACUUCACAGCAAGACAGUCUGCUGAAAACAAGGGAUCAAUGAAACUCUUCAGUAAACUAUGCUAGAAAGAACUUUCUCUUGCAGUAAAAAUGCUAGAAAGAAAUUUCUCUUGCAUUUUGUCCCAUUUCGUUAUUCAUUUGAAUAGAUGAAUCCUCUCCUUUUGCCCUCCUGAUACUAUUCCUGAAAGAUAGAAAGGUCCUUGUCUAGGUCUGAACUUAGGAACUAAGCAGCUAAGCAGGUAGAGCCAGCUAUCCUGUCAGACGCUAUUGUCCAAUAGCAGCAAACUGGCUAACGAGAUCACUGAAAAUGAUCUCCAUUUAAGAACAAGCCCAGGAAGAACCUUCCUAAUUUAAGUUCCUUAGCAAAUACUUGGUUCAUGUAUACAUUCCAUGUCAGAGAAUAAUACUGCAAGCACGUUUUUCAAAACAGUAACAAGAAAUCUUAAAAAUUCUACGUGCAUUUUCAAAUCUCUUCCCUUUAUCACAUGUUCCUCUUUUCUUACUGCUUCUAGGGCACCUGUGUCUCACUGUUCUGUAGUCCUCAAAUUCCUGUAUCUCCCAUUUAACCUGCCUUGACUGAGAGGCCUUCUGCAUACUGAUGCCACCCCAACCCACUGUGGUCUCUUGUAGAUAUGGCUAACUGUGCCAGCUGAUUGAUUUAAGAUAUGAAGUAGAAAUAGAUAGAACAUGAGGAAAUAAUUUCUUUUGUCUCAAUAUUGUACUCAAGGGACCAAUGCAGAAAAAAUACUUGACAUGUUCUCUCAUCAGUAAAAAGCAAAUUCAGCAAGACUAAUGCCUGACUCUAGGAAAUCACUAUUCCCAUCAAACCUGUCCCCUAAUACCAUAAAGGCUUAAGAACUGUUAGUAAAGAAUGAAUUAAUUUAUCAACUCUAACAAAUAACUAACUAAAAAUGUAACAAACUUUCUUCUUAAGCAUUAGUGUAAAAUACAAGAAUGUCAACAUACCCUUUUCAUAGUUAAACAGCAGGUGAGAUCAUGAUACACUACAGGCACUAAGUCCUUUGAAAGGUGGACAUCAAAUUCCACAAAUGCUGCACCCUGGCAGAAAAAAGGAAGCAAGUGUCUCAAACAUUUCACACUUCAGAUCAACUAUUUUGUUUAGGGUAAACCAUAAUUUUGUACAAUAAAACCUCUUCAUAAAUAUCUCACUUCAAACUUCACCAACAUGGCUAAUUGGUCUCCUACUACAAUUUUGUUAUGUAAAAGCACAACAUUUUCUAGGUCAAAAAAACCCUGUGUAUUGGGGUACCCUGAUCUAUUUACAAUCACUCACAGCAGUAAGAAGCAGUCAGACAGCAGUCAGUGCACUGAGCAGGAGCACAAGAUACCCUCUAUAUAUUCUAAGAGAAAUAAAUGAGGAAAUUAAUGUGCUACAGAACCUCCUCACUGUUAGUGAGUUAGGAGUACUUGCUGCUCUUGUGGAGGGUCCAGGUUCAGUUCCCAGCUCACAAGUCAGGUCAUUUAGAACCAUCUACAAUUCCAGUCCCCAGGGGAUCAGAUGCUCUCCUCUGGUCUCAGCAGAUGAGGCAUGCAUAUGGUGCUUGUACCAACGGCACACACACACUCAGACCCACAUACAUAUUAAAAUUCUUUCAAAAAAGGGAACUACAUCAUUUCCUCAUAGCUCCACCUGUACAUGAAGUCAUUUUCCUAGUUAAAAUGUCUUAUUUUACUGUUGGCUGCUAUUUUACUAUAACUGCUAUUCUAGAGGACAGGAGUCACCACCUAGCAUACACACUGGAUGGCUUAUUUUCUCUGAAAGAAAACUUUACCAAAAGAUAAAAUGCUGCUUAGUUAACAAUAAACUAAAACCAGUUCCAAAUUAUGAAGUAUGGUCCAAUAUACCCCUGGAUUAGUAUAUCCUUUCAAAUAAAAAAUUAUAUACUAAUUUUUUUGAUACAGGAUCUCACUGUGCAGCCAUAUCUGGCCAUGAAUUCAGAGAUCCAACCUGCCCCUGCUGGGAUUAAGUUUAUAUUACUUUGGGAAGUGAAAAGCACUGUGAAAAACCAUGGGAAGAAAAAAAAAUAAGAUGGCCUCUCAUCCUGCCUCCCAGUUUAAGGGUAGAGCCUGAGUCUCUCUGGUGGACAACAAAAAAUGAACUGUAACAGUUAAUGACUGGAUAAAGAGAAAAUUUAACAUAAAGUUUACUUUUUUAAAGAGUACAGAAUAAUGCAUUUCAUCAUGGUACUUCAUACAUGUAUUGAUACAUUCUUGAGAUAUAUAGAGGCAACCAUGUAACAGUUCAGUGGGUUUACUUGGCACAAGCUGAAUUCAAUCUCCAAGACUGACAUGAUGGGAGGAGGGUACCAAUUUCCACAAGAGGUCCCCUGACCUCCACACAGUGCUUGAAAGUCACCUCAAACCCGGCAAUAAAAACAUGCAAUGAAGUGUUACGUAAAAUCACUAUAUCCUAUUAGCAUUAUUGUUAAAGUAAAAACCAAGCAUUUUAUCUCAAAAAUAAAGGAAGGGACAUGGUGGCUCAUGCUUGUAAUAAUCAUAGCACUUGAAAAACAGAAGCAGGGAGCCAAAAUUCAAGGCCAGCCACCUUCUUCUAUUUAAGACAGGUAGACCUAAUCUCAAAAAAAAAAAAAAAAAAAAAGGUUGUGGUUGUGUGUGUGUGUUUUGGUGCCAGGGGUCAGGGGUGUUUACAGCUCUUAUUCAUUUUUGCUCUUUCAAAAUAUCUGGGUUUAGUUCCCAGAACCCACAUGAUGGCACUCAAUGGACUCCAGCUGUAUAGGGUCUGAUACCUUCUGGCCUAAGGAAACCAGACACCAAACGGUGCACACACACAGCAAAACACUCAUACACAUAUUCUUAAAGGUUCCAUGUUAUUCUGUUAUUUACGUAUAAAUCUUCAUCACAAAUCUAAACACAAACACCCUAAGAUAGUUCACUUAGGAACAUCUUCAGGAUAGUUUUAUCUGUCAGCAGAAACUGGAAGAGACCCCUGUCUCGAUCUCAGCAAUGCAGGUGUUUAAAAAAGGAUACUUACAUGGCUGGCAGCAUUUCUUAAAGAAGCAAUAGUAUUUUCCUGUACUUUAGCCAGCCUGAAAUAAAGAAAUACAGUCAUCAAGGACUAAAGAAAGUGAGGGACCCAGUGUGGAGAGUGGCGUCCCAUUAUCAUAUAUUAUCCUAUAGCCCCAUACCUGCAUACUAGCACAUGGGCAUAUAUACAUACCAAACACCCACGCAUGCACACAAUAAGGAGAUAAGUUAUUAACAAGGAACUUGAAAGUGCUUCUUACUUAAAUGUAAGCUGACUUGGUUUGGAGACCUAAGAGGUCAUAAUGACAACCACAAGUCCCAAAGCAACUUCAGAAUCACUUUAUUUUGUUUAGUUUCUCGUUUCACAUCUGGUAUAAAUAAAUAUGAAGUUAAGUAGUAAGUAUAGUUAGUAUAAGGAGUAAGGGACAGCCUUGGCUAUCCUGGAACUCGCUCUGUAGACCAGGCUGGCUUGAACUCACCAAGUUCCACUUGCCUCUUCAUCCCAAGUGCUGGGAUUAAAGGUAUGUGUAACCACUGUGAUGCCAGAAUGCUAUGGGGGCUGGAGAUGUGACUUAUUGGUUAAGAGCACUUGCUAUUCUAGAGGACAGGAGUCACCACCUAGUAUACACACUGGAUGGCUCACAACCUGUAGCCCCGGUUCUAGGUGAUCUGGCAUCCUUAAUAUUUCAUGAGCAUUGCGCACACAUGAAUGCAUGCAUACACACACACACACACACACACACACACACACACACACACACACACUAUUUUUUAAAUCGGAUUAAAUUUUAUAAUAGAAAGCCUAGAGCAAUUCAACGCUGACAGGUUUACAAAACUGGGAGGAAAACACAACUUUAUUAGGCUGGCAUUUCUGUCUGAUAAAGUCUACACUUAACUCUUCUCUUUGGACUUACACUUCCAUGAAACUAUGGCUAUGAGGAGAAGAAUCACUAAUAAUCUUGAUCAAGCCUUCCAUAGGUGAGGAAACAGAUCCAGACAGGGCAGCUUGCAAGAGCAACAAGAGUGAUAACAAAGGCCAAAAAGCUUUCUGUGUUGAAAUCUCCCUCCUGCCCAGCAACCACAUGGUGGCUCCCAACCAUCUGUAAUGGGAUCCGAUGCCCUCUUCUGGUGUAUCUGAAGACAGUGACAGUGUGCUCACAUACAUAAAAUAAAUAAUCUUUUAGGAAAUCUCCCUCCUGGCUUUCCAUUUGUAAUGUCUUUUUCCUUAUGCAGUCAGUGUAUCAGAAAGACUGAACAUUAUCAUCUCAGGAAUGACUUGUUUCUAUUGAAAUAGUAAUUCCUUUCUCUCAUCACCACAUUUAAUUUUAUGGCACUGACAUUUAGCAGGUAAAGCUUCCCCACGCUUGGGCUACUGACUAGUAGUGGUAUCCUAAUGUGCAACUUACUUGGCAGUUGUUGUUGAGUUCCCUGCACCACGAUGUCCAACAUCCAGUGGUAUUCUUGGUUUCCAAUACUUGGAGAAUGAAGACUGCAUAGAACAACUAUAUCCUGGUAAUGGCUUGAUGAUGAUAAAAUCAACUUCCAUAGGAAAAGAGCAGGAGGGGGCAUGAUUAAAAAGACCACUAUAAGCUCAAAGGGAAUCUGAAAAGUACUUAACCAGUCUUGUUAAACUAUCAGACAGAAAAGGAUCAAAAUAAAAUUGAUUCUGAGUAAGUGCAGAAAAUUCAAUAACUAUGCUCCUUCUCCAAGUGUUAUACUAUUAAAUCACGAAAUAAAGAUAAAUUAUCAUUCACAAAUACUAUUUAAACUAAUAAAAAUUUUGGAAUAAUCUUAGUUUAGUUGCAAGAGCCUAUCUGCUUCUCCCCAACUUACCUCUGACUUUGCCUAUAGUUUUUCUGGAACUUCUGCUCAUGAUGGGAAGAGUAAGGAUUCCAGCGCUUCUCUCACUCUCAGCAAUGGUAGAUGACAGGAGGCAUGCUGUGCCCACAUGUCCAGGAAGAACAUCACCCUGGACUACAUGCUCACUGAGAUCUUCCUAAAAAAAAAAAAAAGGUUCAAAAUACCCUGAAUUUUUAUUUACAUUUUAAAAACUUUUUGUGUUGGGGAGAAUGAGGAUGUUUGGCAUGCAAAUGCCACAUGUAGAGGUCAGAGGACAAAGGUCAAAGUUGAGUCUCUAUCAUGUGAGUGCCAGGGAGUGUACUAUGUCCAUCAGGCUUAGCAGCACUCGAACUAUGAAAAAGAUAGAUUUAGUUAUUAAAUGAGUGUGUGUGUGUGUGUGUGUGUGUGUGUGUACAUGCGCACACAUAGGAGUACAGUGUCUGUGGAGGCCAGAUGAGGAGUUCAGACUCCCAGGAGCUGGUUCCAGGAGGCAGCAAUGGGCUGCCCCACAUUUCCACUAGAAACUGAGCCACUUGAAGAACAACACUCGAAGCCCAGUGGCAAAACAAACAAGACUUCUCACCUCCAUCAGAAAAAGACUAAUCUAAUGGAUGCCCUCUUCGCAGGAAUGUCAAGGAAUGACAAAAAAAAACCAAUCAGCACAUCUGGAAAGCUGGGUUAAACAGCAACCUACAUACAGAAGGGACCAAAUCUCUAAGUGUCCUCUAGCCUCAAUAGGAGCACGUGGCAUGCAAGCCUCACCAAUGCACACUCACACCAUGUGAACAUAAACAUAAAAUAAAAUAUAUUAAUGUGCUGUUAAACAUUUAUAUUAAAUUGUAAAAUAAAGUUACCAAAACAGUGAAUUGAAUAAUAAAGAUACAGUUCAAGCUGAGGGUGCAGCUCAAGGGAGAUGCUUGUCAAGCAUGCAUGAAGUCCUGCUCCCAUUUGCAACACCAUGGAAACUGGGCACCGAGGCCAUGCCUAUCUUUAAUCAAGGCCAUCCUUAACAACAUAUUGAGUUCAAGGCCAACAUGGAAGGGCUAUAAAGUCCUCAUUAAGAGAAAAAACAGACUUCCCCCAUGAAAGAAAGUCACGUUUUCCAUCAAUGGGUACACAGCUACCUGACCCUCUUUAAUCAAUUUCUGACAAAGUCUUUGGAAGAUGCAUACACAUCCUGUCCUGAUAAUAUAAUUCUACUCAAACUGUCCUAAAAUCUAACCAUAUACAAAAAAGUAAGUAUGAAUAGAGCCUGAAUUCUUUGUCUGAUCCCUUGCUGUGAUCACUACUCACCUCAAAAAAGUCAAAGAUGAGUUCAAGGUUGUCCGGCUCCAUUGUCUGUAUGCUGUACUCUGUCCAGCGGUCAGGCUGUAAGCCAUACCCACAUUCUGGCUGUGAGUGCCUGCACUUGAACUCAUUGUCACUUAUUAAGGAUAUCUCCAGGCUAUUGGACAUCUUGUGAAGAACAGUGGGAGAUGCCUUAUCAUCGUCGUCAUCAUCUUCCUCCAGACCCUCUAGUGUAAGCUUUACCCUGUAUUGACAAGAGAAAAUAAUGAAGUCUAGUAAGAAUAACUCACAGAAUGUACAUAAAUGUAAGUUGAAAGUAUUCUUAAGUAACAAAAAUGAGACAAAGAAUAUCCACAUUGCAAGUUUACUUACUACACUGCCAACUAUAGCUAGUUCUAAAUUUCUUAGCCUUCAAACAACAGGAACUCUUCUGUGAGAUCUCAUUUUAGACAGAUAAUCUGGUAGAUGAAUUCAUCUCACAGGCACAAACCAAGCCUAGCAAUGCAUUUUUAAAUGUACAUUAGAACUGGAGGUUUAAACUAAACACUUUCCACUUUCCUCUUUUCCACAGUGGUAAUCCAGAUACCUUUAAAAAGUAACUGCUAGGGCUGGAGAGAUGGCACAGCAGUUAAGAACACUGACUGCUCUUCCAGAGGUCCUGAGUUCAAAUCCCAGAAACCACAUGAUGUCUCACAACCAUCUGUAAUGGGAUCUAAUGUCCUCUUCUGGUGUGUUGGAAUGCAGCUACAGUGUACUUAUAAUGAAUCUUUUUUUGCUUUCUGGAUGAGGGGGUUACCGGAACACACCAUUCUGCUGUCCUCUAAUUUGAUGCUUUUAAAGGAAUGUGAAAAUGGACCCUUGGCCCCAGACCUUCUGCAGAUGGAGCUAGAUUAAUUUUGCUGCAGAACAAACCACUCUGAAAUGUAGUGCCUUCAAACAACCAUUCCAUUAUCCCCCUCAGUGCUUCAGACUGACCAGGCUCAGCUGGGAAUUCGGGAUUUCUCACGGAGCUGACUGGACCACAAGUCCAAGAUGGCUUCUUUGCACUUGUGUGGACUCUCAUCGGGAAUGGCUGGAGCAGGCAACACUCAUCGGCACCUCUAUUUUCACCUUCCUUUUUUCAUAGGCUUCCUCACAGCAUGGUGCACUAAAGAAAGAUGUCUUCCUCUGGAAAAUCUAUUCUAAAUUUACCACAGAAAUCUAGUUCAAUAAAAUAUUGGAUUUGUUUG